rnacentral:rRNA from 1 species
ACGGGGGGACUCCUACGGGAGGCAGCAGUGGGGAAUUUUGGACAAUGGGCGCAAGCCUGAUCCAGCCAUUCCGCGUGCAGGAUGAAGGCCCUCGGGUUGUAAACUGCUUUUGUACGGAACGAAAAGGCGCUCUCUAAUACAGGGUGCUGAUGACGGUACCGUAAGAAUAAGCACCGGCUAACUACGUGCCAGCAGCCGCGGUAAU